rnacentral:rRNA from 1 species
GAUGAACGCUGGCGGCGUGCCUAAUACAUGCAAGUCGAGCGAACAGACGAGGAGCUUGCUCCUCUGACGUUAGCGGCGGACGGGUGAGUAACACGUGGAUAACCUACCUAUAAGACUGGGAUAACUUCGGGAAACCGGAGCUAAUACCGGAUAAUAUAUUGAACCGCAUGGUUCAAUAGUGAAAGACGGUUUUGCUGUCACUUAUAGAUGGAUCCGCGCCGCAUUAGCUAGUUGGUAAGGUAACGGCUUACCAAGGCAACGAUGCGUAGCCGACCUGAGAGGGUGAUCGGCCACACUGGAACUGAGACACGGCCCAGACCCCUACGGGAGGCAGCAGUAGGGAAUCUUCCGCAAUGGGCGAAAGCCUGACGGAGCAACGCCGCGUGAGUGAUGAAGGUCUUCGGAUCGUAAAACUCUUUUAUUAGGGAAAAACAAAUGUGUAAGUAACUAUGCACCUCUUGGCUGUACCUAAUCAGAAAGCCCCGGCUAACUACGU